ACAUUCAUUUGUGGGCGUCAAGUGAUAAGACGUUAGCCCACAGUCCGACUCCAUAACAUGUCCAGGUUCAAAACUCAGUUUAUUCAACAAAACAGUUCGGGUUACCACGACAAAACAACAACGACGUCACGAUACUCUCCGGCCUCCAACUGGCUGGUCCAGGCUCACACUGCCUAGUUGUACAGUACAGGGCAGGGCUUAUAAAGGAGAUAACUCAAAGGCGAGAACUCCCAAGGCGAGAAGAAGCGUUAUACACGAGAAAACAUUAUACACAUUAUACAGCAAGGCAAAGUCUCUCAGCACUGUCACAGGGCAAAGUUUUCCAGCAUUGUAUAUAAAGAAGCAUUGUUAUACAUGGGUUACAGGAAACAAUCCAGGCGCAUACACAUUAUGCCAGCUGGCCAGCUGUUAAAGUUACACAACGCAAAAUUCAAUCUUUAUGCAUUAAGUUAAAUUUAGAUAAUUAUAUAUAUUAAAUAUUUGUGCUCGGAGCACCCUCAA